UACAGAGGGUGCAAGCGUUGUUCGGAAUUAUUGGGCGUAAAGGGCGCGUAGGCGGUGCGGUAAGUCUGCGGUGAAAUCUCCCGGCUCAACUGGGAGGCUGCCGUGGAAACUGCCGUGCUUGAGUGUGGGAGAGGUGAGUGGAAUUCCGAGUGUAGAGGUGAAAUUCGUAGAUAUUCGCAAGAACACCAGUGGCGAAGGCGGCUUACUGGUCCGGUUCUGACGCUGAGGCGCGAAAGCGUGGGGAGCAAACAGG
rnacentral:rRNA from 1 species